rnacentral:misc_RNA from 1 species
AUGAGACAUAACAUAACAUAAAUGCAUGCAUGUGCAGCAAAGAAUUUAGAUAUAGACCUUUUUGGCUUCAUCUUGUAGGUAGACGACGUUGUGUUGUUUUUCGAGCCAUGUUGACAAGAAAUGGCGGACAGAGGCUUCAAUGUCCCGUGUGAUACGAGCCUUGAGUUGUGGCGAUUUUAAGAAGCUUCCGAUCAGUCCGUGUAGUCUUUUAUGUACUGCCCCAUUCAUUUGCAAUAUUGAAUUCUUCCCAAAUAAUUCUGUUAUUGAUUUUGGAUAACAUGGUAUAAAUACAUCUCCAUUGUUCUGUAGAACCACUUUGUUCACCUCUGCAUCUGUGGAUACUAUUAUUCCUUUUCCUAGUAUAUUACUUUUAAACACAUUCCCGUACAGAGAUUUUCGUUUUUCCAUGAAAGUGACAGGACGAGAAGUGUAUCCAGAAGCAAUGAAAUCGAGCGUUUCUCCUAAAAGAGGCCAACCAGAA